UACGGGGGGGGGCAAGCGUUGUUCGGAAUUACUGGGCGUAAAGGGCUCGUAGGCGGCCAACUAAGUCAGACGUGAAAUCCCUCGGCUUAACCGGGGAACUGCGUCUGAUACUGGAUGGCUUGAGUUUGGGAGAGGGAUGCGGAAUUCCAGGUGUAGCGGUGAAAUGCGUAGAUAUCUGGAGGAACACCGGUGGCGAAGGCGGCAUCCUGGACCAACACUGACGCUGAGUGAGCGAAAGCCAGGGGAGCAAAACGGG
rnacentral:rRNA from 1 species